rnacentral:rRNA from 1 species
GAUGAACGCUGGCGGCGUGCCUAAUACAUGCAAGUCGAGCGAACGGACGAGAAGCUUGCUUCUCUGAUGUUAGCGGCGGACGGGUGAGUAACACGUGGAUAACCUACCUAUAAGACUGGGAUAACUUCGGGAAACCGGAGCUAAUACCGGAUAAUAUUUUGAACCGCAUGGUUCAAAAGUGAAAGACGGUCUUGCUGUCACUUAUAGGUGGAUCCGCGCUGCAUUAGCUAGUUGGUAAGGUAACGGCUUACCAAGGCAACGAUGCAUAGCCGACCUGAGAGGGUGAUCGGCCACACUGGAACUGAGACACGGUCCAGACUCCUACGGGAGGCAGCAGUAGGGAAUCUUCCGCAAUGGGCGAAAGCCUGACGGAGCAACGCCGCGUGAGUGAUGAAGGUCUUCGGAUCGUAAAACUCUGUUAUUAGGGAAGAACAUAUGUGUAAGUAACUGUGCACAUCUUGACGGUACCUAAUCAGAAAACCACGGCUAACUACGU